UGUAGGUGAGGCAGCCGUCUGAUGAUUACUGGGGUGAGUACGGUCCGUACAGAGCCUGCAGCCGCACAUGUGGCACCGGAGUAGCUAUGAGAACCAGGGUCUGCAACACCAUGAGGACGGAUGGUGGACACAAUUGCGUGGGACCAUCCAAGUCCUACAAACUCUGUAACACACAGGAAUGCCCUGUUGGAGCUCGAGAUUUUCGUGAAGAACAGUGUUCUCAGUUUGACCGAAUGGAGUUCCAGGGAAAACGUUACACCUGGCAGCCAUAUU